GACGUAGGGCGCGAGCGUUGUCCGGAUUUAUUGGGCGUAAAGAGCUCGUAGGCGGCUUGUCGCGUCGAAUGUGAAAUCUCGGGGCUUAACUCCGAGCUUGCAUUCGAUACGGGCAGGCUAGAGUUCGGUAGGGGAGACUGGAAUUCCUGGUGUAGCGGUGAAAUGCGCAGAUAUCAGGAGGAACACCGAUGGCGAAGGCAGGUCUCUGGGCCGAUACUGACGCUGAGGAGCGAAAGCGUGGGGAGCGAACAGG
rnacentral:rRNA from 1 species